rnacentral:misc_RNA from 1 species
UACGUAGGGUGCAAGCGUUAAUCGGAAUGACUGGGCGUAAAGAGUGCGUAGGCGGAUGAGCGAGCUUGAUGUGAGAUCCCCGGGCUUAACCUGGGAAUGGCAUGGAGGACAGCGCAUCUAGAGUCUGUCAGAGGUGGGUAGAAUUCCCCGUGUAGCAGUGAAAUGCGUAGAGAUGGGGAGGAAUACCGAUGGCGAAGGCAGCCCACUGGGAUAAGACUGACGCUGAGGCACGAAAGCGUGGGGAGCAAACAGG